CUGUGAUCCACUCAUUCCACAAAUUAUUGUGAGUUUUGGUACUGUGGACCUCUGUGAUCCACUCACACCACAAAUUAUUGUGAGUUUUGUUCCUGUGGAGCUCUCUGAUCUGCUCACACUACAAAUUAUUGUGUUUUAUUACUGUGGAGCUCUGUGAUCCACUCAUACCACAAAUUAUUGUGAGUUGUAUUGCUGUGGAGCUCUGUGAUUUGCUCACACUACAAAUUAUUGUGAGUUUUAUUGCUGUGAAGCUCUGUGAUCCACUCAUACCACAAAUUAUUGUGAGUUUCAUUACU